GGGGAAUAUUGCACAAUGGGGGAAACCCUGAUGCAGCGACGCCGCGUGAAGGAAGAAGUAUCUCGGUAUGUAAACUUCUAUCAGCAGGGAAGAUAGUGACGGUACCUGACUAAGAAGCCCCGGCUAACUACGUGCCAGCAGCCGCGGUAAUACGUAGGGGGCAAGCGUUGUCCGGAAUUACUGGGUGUAAAGGGAGCGCAGGCGGGAAGACAAGUUGGAAGUGAAAUCUAUGGGCUCAACCCAUAAACUGCUUUCAAAACUGUUUUUCUUGAGUAGUGCAGAGGUAGGCGGAAUUCCCGGUGUAGCGGUGGAAUGCGUAGAUAUCGGGAGGAACACCAGUGGCGAAGGCGGCCUACUGGGCACCAACUGACGCUGAGGCUCGAAAGUGUGGGUAGCAAACAGGAUUAGAUACCCUGGUAGUCCACACCGUAAACGAUGAUUACUAGGUGUUGGAGGAUUGACCCCUUCAGUGCCGCAGUUAACACAAUAAGUAAUCCACCUGGGGAGUACGACCGCAAGGUUGAAACUCAAAGGAAUUGACGGGGGCCCGCACAAGCAGUGGAGUAUGUGGUUUAAUUCGACGCAACGCGAAGAACCUUACCAAGUCUUGACAUCCCUUGACAGGCAUAGAAAUAUGUUUUCUCUUCGGAGCAAGGAGACAGGUGGUGCAUGGUUGUCGUCAGCUCGUGUCGUGAGAUGUUGGGUUAAGUCCCGCAACGAGCGCAACCCUUAUGGUCAGUUACUACGCAAGAGGACUCUGGCCAGACUGCCGUUGACAAAACGGAGGAAGGUGGGGAUGACGUCAAAUCAUCAUGCCCUUUAUGACUUGGGCUACACACGUACUACAAUGGCGUUAAACAAAGAGAAGCAAGACCGCGAGGUGGAGCAAAACUCAGAAACAACGUCCCAGUUCGGACUGCAGGCUGCAACUCGCCUGCACGAAGUCGGAAUUGCUAGUAAUCGUGGAUCAGCAUGCCACGGUGAAUACGUUCCCG
rnacentral:rRNA from 1 species